UAUCCGAUUUACUGGGCGUAACGGGUGCGUAGGCGGUCUUUCAAGUCAGGAGUGAAAGGCUACGGCUCAACCGUAGUAAGCUCUUGAAACUGGGAGACUUGAGUGCAGGAGAGGAGAGUGGAAUUCCUAGUGUAGCGGUGAAAUGCGUAGAUAUUAGGAGGAACGCCAGUUGCGAAGGCGGCUCUCUGGACUGUAACUGACGCUGAGGCACGAAAGCGUGGGGAGCAAACAGGAUUAGAUACCCUGGUAGUCCACGCUGUAAACGAUGAGUACUAGGUGUCGGGGGUUAC
rnacentral:rRNA from 1 species